UGUGUAGGCGGUUCUUUAAGUUUGGUGUGAAAUCUCCCGGCUCAACCGGGAGGGUGCGCCGAAUACUGAGGGACUCGAGUGCGGGAGAGGAAAGUGGAAUUCCUGGUGUAGCGGUGAAAUGCGUAGAUAUCAGGAGGAACACCGGUGGUGUAGACGGCUUUCUGGACCGUAACUGACGCUGAGACACGAAAGCGUGAGUAGCAAACAGGAUUAGAUACCCUGGUAGUCCACGCCCUAAACGAUGCAUAUUUGGUGUGGGUCAUUCAGUUGAUCCGUGCCGGAGCUAACGCGUUAAAUAUGCCGCCUGGGAGUACAGUCGCAAGGCUAGAA
rnacentral:rRNA from 1 species